CGUGCGGUCGUCCAGGUGAGGGAGCUGGAAGAGAGUCCGAAUUCUAAGGCUUUCAGCAGAGAUUUGAGAAAUGGCAACAAAUGAAAGUAUCGGCAUCUUUAGUUCAGCAUCCUUGGCUGUGGAGUAUGUAGACUCACUUUUACCUGAAAACCCUCUACAAGAAACAUUUAAAAAUGCUUGGAACUAUAUGUUGAAUAAUUAUACAAAGUUCCAGAUUGCAACAUGGGGAUCCUUGAUAGUUCAUGAGGUCCUUUAUUUCUUGUUCUGUUUACCUGGAUUUUUGUUUCAAUUUAUACCUUACAUGAAAAAGUACAAAAUUCAAAAGGAUAAACCAGAAACAUGGGAAAACCAAUGGAAAUGUUUUAAAGUACUUCUCUUUAAUCACUUUUGUAUCCAGCUUCCUUUGAUCUGUGGAACUUAUUAUUUUACAGAGUAUUUUAAUAUACCUUAUGAUUGGGAAAGAAUGCCAAGAUGGUAUCUGCUUUUGGCAAGAUGCUUCAGCUGUGCAGUGAUUGAGGAUACCUGGCACUAUUUCCUGCAUAGGCUCUUACAUCACAAAAGAAUAUAUAAAUAUAUUCAUAAAGUUCAUCAUGAGUUUCAGGCUCCAUUUGGAAUGGAAGCUGAAUAUGCACAUCCCUUGGAAACUCUGAUUCUUGGAACUGGAUUUUUCAUUGGAAUCAUGCUUUUAUGUGAUCAUGUCAUUCUCCUUUGGGCAUGGGUGACUAUUCGUUUGAUAGAAACUACUGAUGUCCAUAGUGGUUAUGACAUUCCUCUCAAUUCUUUAAAUCUGAUCCCUUUCUAUGCUGGUUCUCGGCAUCAUGACUUCCACCACAUGAACUUCAUCGGAAACUAUGCUUCAACAUUUACAUGGUGGGAUAGAAUUUUUGGAACAGACUCUCAAUUUAUUGCCUACAAUGAAAAGAUGAAGAAGAUUGAGAAAAAGACUGAAUAAAUAUCUAAACCUUCCUGAACAUACACACUUUCCUGAAUUGAAGCAAGUAGCUAACAUUGCUUCUGAGGAGCAGAAAUAAACGUGUCUUGGCUGCUAAGUGAUACAAAGAACAUUAACAAUCUUUAAUUAUCUUCCUAGUGGGAACUUUUUCUACUUUACAUAAAAGUUCUGUAUGUGUAGAAAUAAGUAUAUAUUUAAGUACGAUUUUCAUGAGGAAGUUGUAAAGGCCAUGUUGCUAACCUUACAGAAAGGUUUUAAGUAAUGGAAAAAGUAUUAAUUUGUC